GAAGCACAGAGUGGUCUGGAAGAGGCACAGGGAAGUGGAGGUAGCCAAAGCCAUCCAGAGCCAUCUUCUGCUGUGAAGAAAAGAGCUGGAUUCUGACUCGGGCUGUGAAGGUCUGCCUCAGGGAGGGAAGGAUUAGGAAGCGGAGAGGCAGACGACAGAGGACAUGAGAGUCUUUCUCCCAGGCUGCAAUCC
rnacentral:lncRNA from 1 species